rnacentral:antisense_RNA from 1 species
CUUCACCGACCCCAGCCAGAGCGCAUCCCGCUCACCACGGUCCCGGCCAUAGGUCGCCAGCAGCGCCUGCGCCUC